GACGAACGCUGGCGGCGUGCCUAACACAUGCAAGUCGAACGGAACUGUUUUGAAAGAUUUCUUCGGAAUGAAUUUGAUUUAGUUUAGUGGCGGACGGGUGAGUAACGCGUGAGUAACCUGCCUUCAAGAGGGGGAUAACAUUCUGAAAAGAAUGCUAAUACCGCAUGACAUAUCGGAAUCACAUGAUUUUGAUAUCAAAGAUUUUAUCGCUUGAAGAUGGACUCGCGUCCGAUUAGUUAGUUGGUGAGGUAACGGCUCACCAAGACCGCGAUCGGUAGCCGGACUGAGAGGUUGAACGGCCACAUUGGGACUGAGACACGGCCCAGACUCCUACGGGAGGCAGCAGUGGGGGAUAUUGCGCAAUGGGGGCAACCCUGACGCAGCAACGCCGCGUGAAGGAUGAAGGUUUUCGGAUUGUAAACUUCUUUUAUUAAGGACGAAAAAUGACGGUAC
rnacentral:rRNA from 1 species